AUUUAUGGAUACAUUGUUCGAAGAAAACUGGUACGAGAAAUAAUGACCACUUUAGACCCUAAAGGAAUGUCCAGAAGGAAAGGCAAUAAACUUAAAAGAAGGCAGUACCUCAGUAAAGGUCCAAAUUGGAUAUGGCAUAUAGACCAGUAUGAUAAGUUGAGUCCAUACGGAAUACACAUCAGUGGCUGUAUUGAUGGGU